rnacentral:piRNA from 1 species
UAGGACACCACUUCCUUAGGGCCCAGAC